AACUAUACAAAGUAAAGAGACUUAAAUCAAACUCAUCAUUUCUCAAGCAGCAUCUUUCUUUAGUUUGCCUAGCUGUAAAUUUCACCAAUCAUUGAUGGAAG